UACGGAGGGUGCAAGCGUUAUCCGGAUUUACUGGGUUUAAAGGGUGCGCAGGCGGUUCUGUAAGUCAGUGGUGAAAUCUCUAGGCUUAACCUGGAAAUUGCCGUUGAUACUAUAUAUCUUGAAUGCUGUGGAGGUAAGCGGAAUAUGUCAUGUAGCGGUGAAAUGCUUAGAUAUGACAUAGAACACCUAUUGCGAAGGCAGCUUACUACGCAGAUAUUGACGCUCAUGCACGAAAGCGUGGGGAUCAAACAGG
rnacentral:rRNA from 1 species